AUACGGAGGUGGCAAGCGUUGCUCGGAAUCACUGGGCUUAAAGGGCGUGUAGGCGGUGAAUUAAGUCGGGUGUGAAAUCCCUCGGCUCAACCGAGGAAUUGCAUUCGAAACUGGUUUACUAGAGUGCGGGAGGGGAGAGUGGAACUCCAGGUGUAGCGGUGAAAUGUGUAGAUAUCUGGAGGAACGCCGGUGGCGAAAGCGACUCUCUGGCCCGAUACUGACGCUGAGGCGCGAAAGCCAGGGUAGCGAACGGGAUUAGAAACCCCAGUAGUCC
rnacentral:rRNA from 1 species